UCCAGCCGUGGCCUCCUUCUCAGCUCCAGUCGUGGCCUCCUCUGCUGCUCCAGCUCCAGCCGUGGCCUCCUCUGCUGCUCCAGCCGUGGCCUCCUCUGCUGCUCCAGCUCCAGCCGUGGCCUCCUCUGCUGCUCCAGCUCCAGCCGUGGCCUCCUUCUCAGCUCCAGUUGUGGCCUCCUCUCCUACUCCAGCUCCAACCGUGCCCUCUUCUGCUGCUCCAGCCAUGGCCUCCUUCUCAGCUCCAGCCGUGGCCUCCUCUGCUGCUCCAGCUCCAGCCGUGGCCUCCUCUGCUGCUCCAGCCGUGGCCUCCUUCUCAGCUCCAGCCGUGGCCUCCUCUCCUACUCCAGCUCCAGCCGUGGCCUCCUCUGCUGCUCCAGCUCCAGCCGUGGCCUCCUUCUCAGCUCCAGCCGUGGCCUCCUUCUCAGCUCCAGCCGUGGCCUCCUCUGCUGCUCCAGCUCCAGCCGUGGCCUCCUCUGCUGCUCCAGCUCCAGCCGUGGCCUCCUUCUCAGCUCCAGUUGUGGCCUCCUCUCCUACUCCAGCUCCAGCCGUGCCCUCUUCUGCUGCUCCAGCCAUGGCCUCCUUCUCAGCUCCAGCCGUGGCCUCCUCUGCUGCUCCAGCUCCAGCCGUGGCCUCCUUCUCAGCUCCAGUUGUGGCCUCCUCUCCUACUCCAGCUCCAGCCGUGCCCUCUUCUGCUGCUCCAGCCAUGGCCUCCUUCUCAGCUCCAGCCGUGGCCUCCUCUGCUGCUCCAGCCGUGGCCUCCUUCUCAGCUCCAACCGUGGCCUCCUCUGCUGCUCCAGCUCCAGCCGUGGCCUCCUUCUCAGCUCCAGCCGUGGCCUCCUCUGCUGCUCCAGCUCCAGCCGUGGCCUCCUCUGCUGCUCCAGCUCCAGCCGUGGCCUCCUUCUCAGCUCCAGUUGUGGCCUCCUCUCCUAGUCCAGCUCCAGCCGUGACCUCUUCUGCUGCUCCAGCCAUGGCCUCCUUCUCAGCUCCAGCCGUGGCCUCCUCUGCUGCUCCAGCCGUGGCCUCCUUCUCAGCUCCAGCCGUGGCCUCCUCUGCUGCUCCAGCUCCAGCUGUGGCCUCCUUCUCAGCUCCAGCCGUGGCCUCCUCUCCUACUCCAGCUCCAGCCGUGGCCUCUUCUGCUGCUCCAGCCAUGGCCUCCUUCUCAGCUCCAGCCGUGGCCUCCUCUGCUGCUCCAGCCGUGGCCUCCUUCUCAGCUCCAGCCGUGGCCUCCUCUGCUGCUCCAGCUCCAGCUGUGGCCUCCUUCUCAGCUCCAGCCGUGGCCUCCUCUCCUACUCCAGCUCCAACCGUGCCCUCUUCUGCUGCUCCAGCCAUGGCCUCCUUCUCAGCUCCAGCCAUGGCCUCCUCUGCUGCUCCAGCUCCAGCUCCAGCUGUGGCCUUCUUCUCAGCUCCAGCCAUGGCCUCCUCUGCUGCUCCAGCUCCAGCUCCAGCCGUGGCCUCCUCUGCUGCUUCAGCUCCAGCCGUCUCCUCCUCUCCAGAAGUUUCAGUGGCAUUUUCUUUACUCAUUCGAUACACAGAUAUUUAUAUUUCAGAUGAAGAUGAGUAUGAGUAA
ensembl:lncRNA